CCACCAGGGGUGACCAUUGAAAAAGACUGCUCUCUAUCGGGCAACAAAGACUGAAUGGCAACAGCUGGAUAGGGAUUCCCUUGAGGAAACCAUGAAGAGAAGUUACCCAUUUCACUAUUGUUUAGCCUAAGACCAAAAACAGAUGAUGGUUGGGUCGGUGUAUUAUUCCUGGUCGGCUGGCCAAAUGGAGAUCGUUCAGCAGUCCCCUCAGCCACACGAGGCCCAUCAUUCAAAUCAAAAUCCCUGUGUACACUUGACUCACCAUUAAGAACAGUAACUGAUGAUGAUUUUACUGCCUGAAGAUGCACAUCCAUCCUACAACCAUUACUUGCUAAAUGAUUACCUAUAUCACUGGGCUCCUCCACUCUAUUCAAAUCAAGGUCCAGUCCCCCAGAGCUCCGAACAGCUGCAGAACCCAUUAUUUUGUCAUGUGAUAGAUUAUGAUCAUUUGAAAGGUCAAACACAGAAGCUGAACCCCGAGCAGAACCUCGAGAAGCCAAAUCCUCAAGGAUUCUUUCAUCUGGAACAUUCAAGUCAAAGUCCAAUGGUGGACGACUGGGCUUGAUCACAGCUGCAUCAGAGGCAGGGAUAUUAGAUGUACCUACUGGUAUCUCCAAAGCUUUUCUAGGUUCAGCUGGCCGAAAGGCACUUGUGGCUGCUGAUCCCUUCCAACC
rnacentral:misc_RNA from 1 species